AUUAAACUAGUGAAUAUUCUGACGUCACCGAUUUAACCGCGGCUAUUUCGUUUAACCGCCUAAUUAAUACUUGUCGGAAUUGAAAUAUUCAAAUUUUUUUUUUUUAAUUAUUAAAUAAUGUUAUAAAACUUUGUUUAUAUUCGUACUAAUAAGAACAAAUAAAUAUAAAAAGUUUACGAUCCUUCUUAGUUUUACACAAUAUUAUUUUUUUACUAAAUCGCCUACAGUUUGGCUGGCGUUAUCGAGAUAUCCAAUGUUGCCGGUGCUGAAACGUCCGAUAAAAUCCUUAGAUAUUUCAAAACAUCGAACCUUCUUGCAUUAAAUACAAAUUUUGGUAAAUCUUUUUAAUAUGAAAUAAAAAGAAUAAGAAGAAAUGUUUUCAAGUAUACAUUUUAUUUUUUAAUCUGAUAGUCAAGCACUUUUCUGUUACUAUUAUAUUUCGUACGAAUCCAAUUACUAAAAAUAUAAAUUUGAAUAUUAGAAACGAUGUUAAACGUUUGAUUUAAUAUAAAUAUAUAGGUAUAAAUUGAAUUAAUUUCAAACAAAGGAAUUCGCGUAUGGAGUGAAAUGAUUAUCGAUCUGGCAACACGGCUACAGAUUUGUGUUGUGUAGGUCUGAUCGUGCGCAGAUACGGAACCUCUACCUUCCUAAUUGGUAAUUGCAUCCUUGUGACGUCAUUCGUAUAAACAAGACAGAAUACCGUUCAGGGUCGAUUUUUUGGUGUUACCUACUUUUGUUUGGUUAUAUGAAUAUGUAGAUGUGAUAUUGAUUAAAAUAUUACCUACUAUUUGUAUUUAGUUAAUUUUCGUUAGUGCAAAUUGGGUUUUAGUUUUUGUCUUAUCGUUUUGACUUUCUUUAAUUACCGACGAAACGAUUGUAGAUUUACAAACAAAAGUUUUCGAUUAUCAGUAAUUUAUGCUGUAUUGAUCAAUUGCCUACUUACCCAAUAAACGGUUUCUACUGGUUUAAGGUCAAAUAGCAUCGCGUGCGGGUGCACACUAUUUUGAAAUCAGUAUUUGGAAAUUUCCAAGAAUAUUUUCUUAAUGACAAUAAAUAUAAAUAUUAUUUGAUUUAGUUUUAUGAAAAAUAUAUACCGAGUGAUAUUAUGUUCGAUAAUAUGUAAUAAUUGACGUCGGUUUUUAUCAAAAUAUGACUUUACAUAAAUAGAGGUGGAAACGUUAAUUUUUACACGUUAUUUGGAACUAAUUUCCAUAGACCAAAAUCGAGACAAAUUAUCACGAAAAAAAUAAACAAUAAUAUUAGAAAUUCUCGAAAUAGAUAAAUUUUUUUAAUUUAAGUCACCGAUAGAACGAUAGAAAAAUUUGGUUAUGAAAUUUUUGACUAUAAAAGGAUUAACAUCAACUAAAAUCAAAUACAAAAUGGACGGUGUUUAUGGCAGCGUUGUGAGUGAUUUUUAUGGCUGUUACACGAGUGCUCUCGUCCAAGAGGCUUAUCCACGAGCUCCACGCUACCAUUAGAGAGUCUUUCUGUUCAUCCACAGGGAAUUCAAUAUCCAACUAUUCGGCUACCUCGCUAGACAUGUGGCUAGACAUAUUUGGGGACUUGGAAGGUCCAUACUGCUUCGCUUUUCAACGCUAUUGUACUCUAGUGAUCAGAAAUCUUAGUGAUACGAUACUUUCUAGGCGGAGCCUAAUUUACUCAUCUUCACAUAGUUUCAUUUAUACGAUUAAGAAAAUGGCUGCUGCAUAAAUAUAUUUCCCAACUCUAUUAAUAUGUGCGGAUAUCUUCAGGUCGAAGUCGGAAACUUUUCAAACAACCAUCGUAUGUACUGUUGACACAUUGUAUAAAUUUAGUACAAAUCAAAAUUAAAAAUGUAUAAUUAAUUUACAUCGUCGAAAUUCAAAGGCAAAAUCAAUAAAAUUUAUCUUGUCGUUUGUGUUGGUUGCCAGAAGACGAAAAACAACGUUUGUAUAUAUGUAUAUCUAAACUGUUACAACAAAUUAAUUUCUUGACUUGAUAUCGCGGUCAUCAAAACACGAUUUGACACAAAUUCCUGUUAAAUAUGUUGACCCGACGUAACGACAACGCCGCGCCUGCUCAACGCCUACUCCAUCAAUAAACACUCGAAAAUAUUUUAUGUAAACGUUCUUCCUGAUAACAGUCUCAUCUAAUUGGUAAUUGAAAUUGAAAGUUAUAAAUUAAAUACAUUGUAUCUUAAUACUAGGAAGUCGAGUUUAUAUUAAUCGUACGUCUUGUUGAUGGAUAUAAAUUGAGUAUCUUUUUGGUUCCAUUUUCGAUAUCUUGAUAUAUUUCACGUUGAAUAAAGGCCGUGCAUUAUUCGUUUCGUAAAUGACUGAUUCCUCUAAGACCUGUCGACCUGUCUGAAGUUCAUAUAUAUCUGAACAGGUCCGUAUUUUGAUUUAAGUUUAGGGUGCACAGCUUUAAAAAUGAUAAUUUUUUUUAAAUAGCACUACAUAAUUUUAUAGUUUCUACAGUUAUAAAAUGGCAACGUUGUAAUACAAGAAAAUCGGAAGAAAAGCGUUGAUACUAUCAAAGAAAAAAUACAACAGCUUUUCCGUGAUUAUACAAAGUGAGUUACAUAAAAUAAAAUUAGAAGUUUUGAAAUAAAAUUUCAGAUUUCAGAGGGGACCUCUUUGUUCUAAAUACAAAAAAAAUUGUAUCAAAUUCUGCUACAUUUCAGUAGAAAGGGUUUUUUUGAUACGAGUAGUUCGAAGAAGGUAUCAGAUGUUCGGAAAGAAAAUUAUAAUAGGCGGAAAAUUCACGAAAAUUGGGUUUUCUGGAAAACUAUAUGUGUGAUCCUAAAAUUAACAAGAUUUUUAGAUUUUUUGGACAAAAAUACAUAAUAUCCAACGAUUUUUUGCUUAUUUUCGCAAUAAAGGUAUAUUUUCAACUGUUAUGUGGAAAAAUUCAAAAAAAAAUUGACCUGCUUGUAUAAACAAUUUUAUAUUUCCGAAAACAUUUGAGAUAUCGAUUUAUUUUUCACACGAAUCAAUUGAGAAAACGAGUGUCUAAGUGACUCCUUUUAUUAAAUUCCUUCAUUUCAUAUUUAUGUGAAAUAUACAGGGUUGAACUUGGAGUACAUUGGUUUUUGAAAAAUAGUACGGAAAAAAAUUAUUAUAGACGGAAAAUUCAUGAAAAUAGGAUUUUUUGGAAAACUUAACAUUUUAUACGGAAACUAACAAAUUCUUCUUUUUUAAAAAAAACGAGCUAUAUAAGUUAUAGUUAGAAGUUAUGAUUUUACUGGUGCCAUCUGUUUGAUAUGAAAAAAUAGCAGCUGUCCUCUUCUGAGCAUAAUGAGCACGAUCGCAGAAUAUUCAGCACAUUCUCGAGAUCAGAGUUCAACAAUGACACAUCAUUUUUUUCACAUAAUCUAGCCUCUGAAACAAAAAAAAAACCAUAGAGGAGCUCAAAUGGGAGAUGACCAAACUAGGGAAAGCACUACGGAAAAUUUGAACACUAUCCAUGAUACCUGGACUAAAAAUUAUAAAAUUCUACCAUCAGUGAAGGACAUAGCUUUUCAAUAUUUCCAGAAUUUAAUACGGAAAAGCACGAGCUGCAGCAAUAAGUUUUUUUUUAUAUAAUCGAGGUGCUAAAUUAUCUUAAGUUAGACCUGCGUGAAUUGCAAAAUUGAUAUAUAACUGGACAGGUGUCUAAUUUGAUUUUUGUAGUAGUUUUUUGAACUCAAAAAAUAAAAAAAAUAUUUAAUUAUUACAACAAAAAAUUGUCAUGUAAAUAUUUUUUACAACGUAGGAAAAUACGCGUGUAGAUGUAGGUUUGAAAAAAUGUUUCAGACCCCCACGGACUUAAGCGCAUUGUUUGGACUUUGAAAAAAAAAAUUACACGAUAAUUUUUUGUUAAUAGAUUCCUCAUUAAGUAUCCUUCGCAAUAGUGAAAGAAAAUUCGAAAAAAUAUCGGGGCUUCGAUGUCAGCGUUCAAACGUUAAAAUUUAUUUUUUGGAUCUUCGGUUCAGAACCGUGUAUCACUUUUUAUUGAAUCGUAAUAUUAAAGAAGAUUAAAAAGUAGGUAAAGUUAAUAGUAAGAAUUAACCGUUUACUUAUUCGUUUAUAUAAGAGAGAUACUCAAGACACUUUUAAGACAUUAGAUACUUGAAAAUGCAAGUAAAUCGAGAUUAAUUCGCUCGUCCCACUUAAAUAUAGGUUAUGUAUCCGUAGCGUAUAGUGAACGUUGUGAUAACAUUGUGAAACAAACGUACUUAUACUUAAAUAUACACAACCUGCUCUGAGGUCGAUUGUAUCUGUACAUUGCCUUUCUCUCGACGCCGUUAAUGAAGCCGAAGCUGUAUAAUAAUCAGUGACAUGCACGUAGGGGCUUCAAGUUUGUUGUUUAAAUAAAUAAACAAAUUAAACGAUUGGGGGAUAUUAGAAAGUAGUUUAUUUAUUAUGGAGACGUUACAGCUUGUAUUUGUUUAUCGAUGGCAUACAGGGUGCUAAUUAUUUUCUAAAUAACGAUAAACUUUGACCUCUAACUGUCCUCUAACAUUUUGAACAACUUCUUUACAUGCGGGUGUUAUUUUGUUUAUCUCGAGGUUGUAUCACAAUCGAUUUUAGUUGGGAAUUUUACCACGUUAAAAAAUAAUCGAUACUCAUCGAUAUUUUGUAAGAAUAGUUAAAAUUUAUGAAGCCUCCUGGUGCACAGACGGUUCUAGGAUGGAUAGCUUGGUCAUAGCAGACUUCUGCGAAUGACACUUCACAAUAAGCGGAUUUUUCUUGUUUAGGAAACAUACUAUAGUCUCUAAAGCAAAGACAUAACUGCUGAAAUAAUGUGCAUAGGGCUUGUGCUAAAAUCUGUAACGAGUCCUACAAGAAUUGGUGAGUUUGGGUGCCAGGUCACUCGGGCAACAACGAUAACAACGAAGUGGACGCGCUCGCCAGAUUGGGAUUAGUAAAUCCACAAAUAUCCCCAGAAAACAUUCUUGAUUUGGUCUCAAGUGUGGCUAUUACAUCUCUCAAAGAUCUGAUUGAGAGGGAGGUUCGGCGGAGAUGGAUAGAUUCAAGAUAAGACAGACUCGGUUAUCAAACAACCGUCCCACAUAAUUCGAUUGGUGACAGACCUUUUAACCGGUCAGGGUCAUCUUAGACGCCAUCUCGACACUAUGGGCGUCACGGAAAACUCAGAAUGCCGCUGGAGCUGCAGACCACGUCAUCUGUAAGAGGUUCAAACACAGUUUGCCUUGUGACAUCAAAAGGUUCAAGCCUGAUCAGUUUUCGAAAGGACAUCGUUCUUUGGAUAUUUCGAAUGGGGCUAUGUGCUAUGGGUAAGUUAUGGGUUAAAUUCGAAAGAAAAUAGUUCAAGUAUAAAUUGUAAUUGUCCUUUCAAUCUGUUUCGCUUUGUUAGGCUACUGCAACUCCUUUGGAAAACGUUCUUUUUGAUGGCGUUUAUGACUAAUUUGGUGUUUUGUUCCCAUUUGGGGGUAAAGCUCCAUGCUUCUAACAGUUUCUUCCUCAAAUCGUAUUCAAAAAGGUAAAUUCUGAAUGCAUAUCUAAAGGAAAAAGUCGUUGGAAGCCGAAGGGUGAGAAGAUGCGGUAUCCUCAUGGACAUAUGAUUAAAUUUUCAUCCGAAAUACUUAAUUCUUCAAAAACUGUGGUUGUCCUAAUGCGACUUAAUCCCAUGACUCUCCUGAAAAACUAUCAUCACUUUUCCAACAUACGAAACCUUUUUCAGAGCUAAUUUGCCUUUAGUAACUUGGUGUAUUUCCGUUUCAGAAGUGUGAUAGUGAACCUAGGUUUCAUCUAAAUGAAUCGACUUAAAAAAUCCAAUUGACUCCUUAAGUUUUUCACUAAACUUCACUAAAUUCAAUGGAAAUGUAUAUAAUUGAUCAGCUCUUCAAUACUGUUGAAGCCUUUUAUGAAAACGGGCGUUGAAAUCAAAUAAUUCUGCAUAAAACAUUGCUAGAUAUUGCUUCCGAUAGUGAGGUAGAACAGCCGCCAACCUCCACCCAAUAACACUGAGAAGAAUUUUGAAUAAAGACGCUUAGAAGGUUAAACUGACAUUUACCGACCUUUAUUUAGUUAAACCUUACGGAGAAAAUCAUCUGCAGCGAUAUCGUAUUAGAUAAUUAGCAGAAUUGCACCAUGGACAUCCGCGAAUGAUUGAAAAGCUACCAGCAGCAACUGAUUGAUGCCAGGUGACAUAACUUAUUCAAAGAUGAGGUCGAUCAAGCAUAUGGGAUUGAUGAUAACGAUUUUUUAUGGCAAGAAAUUGAGGAUAUACAGCUGGAAACUAUGUGGUUCGAACAGGGCGAUGUCACUUGUCACACAGCCAAAGAAAAAUAUUAUUUUGCGGGAAAUUUGAUAGCCUUGAUAUAUCGUGUCAUAGUGAUAUCGAUUGGCCGUCAUAAUCAUGCGAUUUGAUACAGUUUGACUUAUUUUUCGGGGGGAUAUUCAAAAGAAAAAGUUUACUUCAGGAACCCUGGAACUAUACAAGAUCUAAAAGAUUGUUUCAUUAACAUUAUAUACCUUAGCGGUAAGUUCAACAAUGAUUCUCAUAAAUUCUUUUUUCUUUUCUGCUAUUUGCGGUGAAGUGUUAAUUUCGGAUUAAAUUAUGUGGUUAUUAUUUUAUUCUUAUAUAAGGUAAUAAACUAACUGUACUACAACGUUUACAACAGUUUGGUUUAUUAAACAACGAGAAGUAGGCCGCAUUUUUUUCGAGAUUUUUCGAAUAAAUCUAACGAUUUUCUAAUUUAUAUACGUAUAAACAGUCAAUCAAAAUACGUGGCUGUAACUUUACUAGCGUUGAAUUGGCUGUAUUAAGUAUUUGUUUCCGACUGCGUCUUUUUAGUACUAUGGGUGUGUUAAAUUACAUUCUUCUGCGUAAGUGCGCAAGGCUAAAUCGAGUAUUAAGGUCAAAAGUUGAUAGUUAUACAGGAAAUUGAAAAUUUUAUCUUGCGAGCCACGAUAGAAUAAUAAGGUCACUAAUAGCGGUUGAGCCCAUUUUUAAAUUUGAAUUAGCGAUUGCGUGAACAGCAUAAAUAUUCAACGUUCUUCGUUAAAAGAACAGUUUAUGAAAAUUUAAUUAUAUACUUACUGCAAAAAUAUCAAAAGUCUUGUAUCUGCCUCAGUAUUGUUAAAUAAAUUUUAAAAAUACUAUAAAAGGGAUUUUAUUUAUGAAAAAAAAGGCUUAGGAGAUUAAUUAAAUGCUGAACUUCAAUAUGUUAUGUUUAAUAAAAUACUUUUUUCAUAAUAACUUCACCAAUCAAAUCGGACAGAUGGCAGGGGGUGAGUCAAGAGGAGAAAAUUAAAUUUUCACGAAAAACAUUGCUCAAACUCAAAAACUGACGUGAUUUUCGGAAUCUCCAUGAUACCACGCGUUUUUUCGAUACUUUCCUAUUUUUCCUAUUAAGUGGCAUCACCUCCCAGCCAAGCUCCAAUAGUUUUCCACGAGUGUUCCCCAAAGAUGUGUGAGGCUUUGCAUUAUCAUGAUGGAACACUAAACCUCUCCGAUUCGACAAUUCUGACCGUUUUUCUUUGAUUACUUCAUCCAGUUUUUUUAAUUAUUGAUCAGAAUUGAUCGUUUGGUUCCUUGGAAGCAGCUCAAAAUACAAAACACGUUUGUAAUCAGGAUAGGACCAGCUCUAUAUAAAAAUUUGAAAUUACAAAAACUUUAUCAUUAAAUAUCUCCGGAAAUAUUGAUUUAACCGACUUGGUGUUGAGGACUUUUUUCGUAGAAAAUUGAAUAUUCUACAAGUUUGUUGUUCACUUUUUUUUUGUAGAUCUUGUCAUUCAAGAAAUAAACGCGACAAAACGUAAAUUUCAUGAAAAAAUCAAACGUAGAGGCCUGUACUACCUCGCCAGUUCGAGUGCAGCAUUGAAUUCUGAAAAAAAAAAGUCCAUGGUCGCUAAUGAGAUAUAGACAUUUAAAACUGAACGAUCAAAGCUGCUCUGUUUUUUUUUUUUAAAUUUAUUUUCGGUACUUGCAACAAAAUUUAACGUUGGGACGGGAAAAAAGAACCAUAGGAUCUGUACAAUUAAAAUAUCUUGGAACCGUUUGUUUCAACAUCUUCAGCUCUAAAGAAUGAAAUACCGAAGGGACUGAACUUCCCAUCUACGAGGUCUGGCUAUUAAAUAACGAGACUGCGCGCCUAGAGGGCGUUGGGUAUCUAGAUAUCUUGUCCAUGCACGUCCCAAAACACGUUUCCGUCACUAUUAUAAUAUUUGAGCAGUAGCUGUUUGAAACGAACGUGUUUUUUCUCGUGCCACGUGUAACGAAAAACAGUAGCAACGUAUCAAUCUCAAAUUUUUCGUUAAAUUGAAAAAAACUCGGCCCGAGUGCUAUAAAUUGUUGCCAGAAGCCUAUGGGGACAAUUUUAUCUCUCGUGCGCGUGUUUUUGAGUCUGUAAAGCUCGAACACCCACCGUACUCACCAGAUUUGGCACCGUGCGACUUUUUCUUGUUUCCGAAGAUAAAAUCUGCUUUGAAUGGACUCGAUUUGAGUCGACGGAAGCGGUAAACCCGAGCUCCUAAAGGCACUCGCCAAAGAAGACUUCCAGAAGUGCUUCGAUCAAUGGAAAAAACGUAUGGAAAGGUGUAUGGCGAGGGGAGGGGAUUAUAUUGAAAGGGAGCAUUCGAUUGUAGAAUAAUUUUUAUAAUAAAACCAUUUUUCGUAACCAGUCUCGUUAUUUAUUACCCAGACCUCGUAUACAACUUAUUUUGUUGUUGUUAUCAGAGAAGUGUCGAAAAUUCAGUAAAUAUUUCAGUAAAAUUUGAAAUUUUACUGAUGGAAACAAAAAUAUUCACUUUAAAAUGUAUAAAAACAAACGUUUGUAUUUCGUAAUUCGUGUUUAAAUGAUGUUAUAGGGUCAAGUUGACGUGAAUCGUUAUUUUUAAAUUGCCAGUUUCAUUUUAUUUAGCAAGAAAUCUCUCAACCGACCUCACGAUUCUUGUCGCACCAACUGACAUUUUGCAAAUAGAAUUAAAAGCCAUUUAAAUAUUAUUAACAUGUCGUCUCUAAAGCGUACAUCAAAUCCCGACGAAUGAUGCUGCAAUCACUUAUUCUAGGUUGGCGUUUAGAAAAUAAAAUUUAUGUAACUGAAAUACAUUACACAAUCUAGAAGGUUAGCGAUGUUAUGGCGUAGGUGAGGACGAGUAAACAAUAAGCGAGAGUGAAUCGCUUUUUCCAUCGAAUAGGUAUUUAACUAAUUAAACUUAAUUAGCUUUAAUCAAAUAAGAACGACGACAUUCUAUAAGUGAAAUUCGGUGAGAUUGAGGUUAAGUUUAUUCGGAAAUUAGCAUAAAAUUGGAAUUAUACGAAUUGUAAAACGCAGUAACAUGUGAAUAUUAUACGAGGAUGGUCUCAGAAGUACCUGGCCCAACAGAAAAAAACCCAUAAAUUUUUAUCCCAACGAUGUUCAAUAUAGCCGACAAUAGGGAAUAACAAAAUAUGGGUGAUUCCGUUCUAACUGUGAUAUUCAAUGUCCUGUAUUGUUUUUUUGUACUAGUCAUUAAUUAAUAAUCAAUUAAUAAAAAUUUUGUGUUAAUUGAAUAAUUCUUGUUGUUUAAUAUCUUAAGUUACCAUGUCAGUACCGUGGAUAAAUGAGUCAGUACCGUGGAACUCAAAAUCCGACAUUUGUGUCUUGCUCGUGAUACUUUGAAGUUGUAGUAAAUUCCUCUUAGAGUUUUAUUUUUACAGUAAAAUAGAUGAAUAAUAUGCAUAAAAAAGUUAGAAAAGUUAAAUUUUAAAAUCUUGAAAUUUUGAAUACAAAAAAUCACAGUUAGAACGGAAUCACCCAUAUAUCCCCAAACCGAGAAGAACCGUUUUUACUUAACUAGAGCUGUCUGAUCGUUCUCUUCUGACCAUUGGUUGAUGGCUUUUCGUCUAUAAUAGUACAACUCCAGCCAUCCAGAGGAACAAUUCCUAUAUCAGGGCUAACGGCAACACAUCUUUCUCCAAUAAAAAAGUCUCUUAUCCUACCUAUAAAUCAUCCAACGAAUUAUUUGUCGACAUCACCUCUUCAUUAUUGAAAAAUCUUUGACCAAAAGGGCUAUUUUUUCAAGUCUGGGAACAGAUAAUAAUCCGAUGAGGCUAAAUAUGGCGAAUAGGGUGCAUUCGAACUUAAAUUUCUUAAUUUUGGCCAUUGCAUUAACUGAUGUGUAAGCUGGUGCAACGAUUUGAUGAAACAAAACCGGUUUUGUUUGAUUUUUUCGCUCAAAAGUUGCAAUAAGUUCGCAUAAUACUCGUCGUUGAUAGUUUUUACUUUUUCAAGAUGGUCAAAAUGAAAAUUAUCUCGCGCGCAUCCCAAAAAACCGACGUUAUGACCUUGCCUUCAGAUGGAACGGUCUCUGCCUUAUAAAAUGGUUAGGAGAAUAGAAAAAAAGGCUAAAAAAUAUGAAAGAAACUCGUAAAUGUUUCAUUAAUUUACGAACUUGUCAAAUUAAUGUCAACAAAUCUCCAUUUUGUGUCGAAACUACGCUAUUUAUUACAACUUUGAACGAAUUAAUGACGUUUCUACAUAUUGAAUUUUUGACAACUCCCAUCAAAUAUUUUUCACAAUAAAUCAAAUUGUCACAGUGCGCACAUUAGCGGAAUUUCGAUUUUACGUUGGAUUUACGUUAGGGAAAAACGACGCAUCUUUGAAAUGGGUCGCCCUAGAAACCCGGGGCGAAGCGUGUGCGACCUCAUUUUCGAUAUCGACCAGUGACCUACUUUUUUGGGCAACACGUGCUCUUGGAACUGCAUCGCACAUCGGCCGUUUCGGAGUUUCCAACUAAUGGAAACGACUAGGGAGUUCAUUUAAACAGUUCCUACAUGAUUUGAUUUAUUGCAUGCUAUAGUUCGGUCCAUAGCCGGUUUCUAAAGAUUUUUCAGUGAAAUAGUUUUAAUUAUCAUCUUAAAUAUUCGGUAAAUAUCAACCGAAAUAAACAUGAUAAGUAACAACAGUAAAAGGUACGUAACCUCAUAAAAAAAUUAAACUUCGGUGAUUAUCCACUAUCUUCGAGUUGGUGACUGGUAUAAUUUUAAUCUGGAUAAUCUGCAGUAUUACUUGUAAUGUCACAAUUAAUAAAAUCUUGAGUAGCUUCAUCAACUUA